rnacentral:rRNA from 1 species
AGCGAACGCUGGCGGUAGGCCUAACACAUGCAAGUCGAACGGCAGCACAGUAAGAGCUUGCUCUUACGGGUGGCGAGUGGCGGACGGGUGAGGAAUACAUCGGAAUCUACUUUUUCGUGGGGGAUAACGUAGGGAAACUUACGCUAAUACCGCAUACGGCCUACGGGUGAAAGCAGGGGAUCUUCGGACCUUGCGCGAUUGAAUGAGCCGAUGUCGGAUUAGCUAGUUGGCGGGGUAAAGGCCCACCAAGGCGACGAUCCGUAGCUGGUCUGAGAGGAUGAUCAGCCACACUGGAACUGAGACACGGUCCAGACUCCUACGGGAGGCAGCAGUGGGGAAUAUUGGACAAUGGGCGCAAGCCUGAUCCAGCCAUACCGCGUGGGUGAAGAAGGCCUUCGGGUUGUAAAGCCCUUUUGUUGGGAAAGAAAAGCAGCAGGUUAAUACCCCGCUGUUCUGACGGUACCCAAAGAAUAAGCACCGGCUAACUUCGUG